UACGUAGGGAGCAAGCGUUGUUCGGAUUUACUGGGCGUAAAGGGCGCGUAGGCGGCAUAUUAAGUCAUCUGUGAAAUCUCCGAGCUUAACUCGGAACUGUCAGCUGAUACUGAUGUGCUAGAGUGCGGAAGGGGCAAUCGGAAUUCUUGGUGUAGCGGUGAAAUGCGUAGAUAUCAAGAGGAACACCUGAGGUGAAGACGGGUUGCUGGGCCAACACUGACGCUGAGGCGCGAAAGCCAGGGGAGCAAACGGG
rnacentral:rRNA from 1 species